AGGAUGAUGUGGAUGUGGCUGGUUAUAUAAAACUAUAGGGCACAGUUGGAAUGAGCCAGAUGGGAUGCUAGUUGUCAUUUUAAAGAGUAACGAGCUUGUUGUCGGCUUUGGGACAUGUCGCUACUGCAUGACCUUGUGAACUUGUCUGCUGCGUGACCUCAAAAAAUGGCUCCCCGAGCACCCCUUCACAUCCCUGGGUUUAUUUGCACAGGCAGUUGCUCAAGCAGGAAGUGACAUCAACGGGUCCAAAGUAAAAAUAUGUCGCAGGACGGGCUGUCUAGGAUGUCCAGGACCGGUGUUUGUAAGGGAGGAUGCCUCGCACCGGCUCCACAGAGAGUGAUGCUCACUGAGGGAUGCAGGAGAGCGCCACACAGGCGAGACAGACACCGGAGGCUGAGCUCUGUAUCAUGGCUGUCUGCUUAAAGGGAUGCUGUCUGCUAUCCAGUUAUGGCUGAGAUCCUCUUGUUCCUCUGCCUCAUCUAUAUCUAUCCCUGCAGCUCCUGCCCAUCUUCACCUUCCAUGACUUCUUCGUGAUGGCACCCUAAUCUCUGCCAGAGUGGUCUGAUGUAUGCAUUGCAAGGCGGCUGCAUGAUCAAGCCUGUGAACUCUACAUCUGAAGGAAGGAUUCUGUUUCUGAUCAUAUCCCUAUUGAAGUCCAUCCAUUUGCCGAACAUGGAGGUGUUGACACACUCGCGCUUGCACUCACUGCAGCCUGCACAGUGAUGCUCUAAAGCCAUUAGUGAGUCCUAGCACCGAUAAUGAAGCCACAGAGGUGGUCUGAGCCAGUAUGGCAUUGGCGCUGGAACACGGGAGGAGGGUAGAUUAGGAUAAUUACCUAGCCAUGGUGGAGCAAUGAAAAAAAAAAACUCUGACUUCCUGCAGGCCUUGAACAGCAAAGGAACACAGUUCAAUCAGGUGCGACACCAAUUGCUCAAAAAAGAAAGAAUAAAGCAAAUUGAAAAAUUAGUUCCAAGUAUUUUUAGUGAACAUCGUGUGUAUAUUAGAGUUUUUAAAAUUUUCAUUUUCUGUUUUUGCAGGUGUUCUCCUCAUCCCGCUCUUAUGUAUAUAUGUGUUUAUUUGUUGUUUGCAAGGCUGUGAUUUAGGUCUCUCACACAUACUGUAAGGACAUCCUAAAUAUCCACGCUCACAGAGACUUUGAAGAGCCUAUGAGGUCAGGUUUUAAAUUAUGGUCUGAACCCACACCAAGCUUUCUCCCUCCACUCCUGUAAAUCCAUUUUCCACACAAUGCAUUUCAAAUCAAAGCGGCGUCACCAUAACAUGCCUUAGGAAACAUUAAGCCAUAGUGCGUUACUUUCAUGUAUGAUAGCAUAGCCCCUGUAUGCUUUGAUGUGCUCACGUUUUUUUUUUUUAAUGCUUUAUUAAUAAUAACACAUUGGCUCCUUCUCACACCACCAUCAGCUUCUGAUGCACCUCUCUCUCCUCCUGAACAACAUCCCUCACUCUUUCCAUGCCUCAGCUGCGUCAUCCCUCCCUAGCCCCUGAGCCGUGUCUCAGGAUUGGCCCGUUUGUGUUUGGGAAGGAGAUUAGAAGGAAUGACAUGGGCCUUGAGAUGAAGAGAGUUACAAAGACCUAUCAGAGGGCAGAGAGUACAGAGAGCAGAAACACCAUUGGCUACUGAGGAAAUCAGACAUGUCUUCAUUUCUCCCAGCCAUCCUCGCUGAGUGUCAUUUCCUCACCCGAGGAGGGAAGCAUAGGGGGGUGGGUGAGGAUCAGGAUUUGAGUUUCUGUUUGUGAGUGUAAGUGUGCGUGGAAAUGUGUGUUUGCUUGUGUGUUGUGUGCAGUAAACAUAGAAAUACAGAGGGAUGAGCAUGUAGACACUGAUAGCACUCACCUCCUCCAAAGCUGGCCAAAAUACAAAGCAGCCUGCGCAUUCCUAGUGUUGUCCUAGCUGAACACUAUGAAUGGGAUGCCUGAUUCAUAGACAUGCAAGCUUAUCUCUUUAUAAACUGCUGCAGCUUCAUCACUGGAUGUUUUACAUCUGUGUUUUAAUGGCAAAAGUAUCCCAAAUCACACAACUGCUGUUUAGUAUUUGCUGAUAUUUUCCUUCUGGCAAAUUCAAUAUAAUGCCUGCAAUUUACUGGAUCACUUAGCAGUUUGUCACAAUAACAUGUGUACUCCUGCACACAAACAUCUGCUGAUUUAAUUUUCUUCUUUUGUGAUAUUGUUGUGUUUGUAUACCUCUUUGAUCAUUCUUCAAUCUUCCUGUUAUGUAGUAUGAUUGAAUCUUGUGUAUUUCAUUUUCUGAUUUUGAUUGAUCCUUUCUUCUCUACACUUUCUAGAGUACAUUUUUUCCCCAAGUCAUUCAUCUCUGUUUAUAUUC